rnacentral:rRNA from 1 species
UACGUAGGGAGCAAGCGUUGUCCGGAAUUAUUGGGCGUAAAGAGCUCGUAGGCGGUUUGUCGCGUCUGCCGUGAAAGUCCGGGGCUCAACUCCGGAUCUGCGGUGGGUACGGGCAGACUAGAGUGAUGUAGGGGAGACUGGAAUUCCUGGUGUAGCGGUGAAAUGCGCAGAUAUCGUAAGGAAGACCAGUGGCGAAGGCGAAUCUCUGGACAGUUACUGACACUGAGGCACGAAGGCCAGGGGAGCAAACGGG